AUCUAAGAGUUCUUAGAUAGAAGUCACACGGGUAGAGAUUAGGUGAAAAGACUGUAACUUGAAGUUGUUUACUGAGAGUCUUUGAACUAAUUUUGUUUAGUGGAUUUCCUUCCUAGCUUGGUAGCCCCCAGGCGUAUGUGAGUUUGCACCGAACUGGGUUAACAAUUGCGUGUGUCACUUGUACUAUUGUUUCUUUGUCUUUUAUCAUGUUUAUAUUUUAGUUGUUGUUCAGAUAUUAGUGUCGUGACAUUACCUUCGACAUCUCAUAUCUGAUACCAGAAUUUCACAAUCCAUCUUAGUACACUUUACUGCCUUCUUGAUGGCGGGUUUAGCUAAAGUAGCCACCCAGGUUGUCGAGAACAUCUAUGUCGGUGGUAUGGUCACCCAUAUCGCCAUCGCCUUAGGCCUUCGUAACCGAAUUACACACCUAGAACCUUUUUAUGGUUAUAACCUGAUCACCAUUUUGCCUGAAUAGAGGAUUAGUGAGGCAAGAAGGACCCGAUACCUUUAAGAUUCUAGUCCUUUACAAACCAGUACACCAAUUCAC
rnacentral:lncRNA from 1 species